UACGGCCACCUCACGUUGAAACACCGGCUCCCGUAUGGUCACCAAAGUUGAGCAACGUCGAUCCUGGUCAGUACCUAGAUGGGUGAUUGCUUGGGAAUUCCAGGUGGUGUAA